rnacentral:rRNA from 1 species
UACGUAGGGGCCUAGCGUUGUCCGGAUUUAUUGGGCGUAAAGAGCUCGUAGGUGGUUUGGUAAGUCGGAUGUGAAAUCUCCAGGCUCAACCUGGAGGGGUCAUUCGAUACUGCCAUGACUAGAGGUCGGUAGGGGAGUGUGGAAUUCCUGGUGGAGCGGUGAAAUGCGCAGAUAUCAGGAGGAACACCCGUAGCGAAGGCGGCACUCUGGGCCGAUACUGACACUGAGGAGCGAAAGCGUGGGGAGCGAACCGG